UACGGAGGGAGCUAGCGUUGUUCGGAAUUACUGGGCGUAAAGCGCACGUAGGCGGCUUUGUAAGUUAGAGGUGAAAGCCCGGGGCUCAACUCCGGAACUGCCUUUAAGACUGCAUCGCUUGAAUCCAGGAGAGGUGAGUGGAAUUCCGAGUGUAGAGGUGAAAUUCGUAGAUAUUCGGAAGAACACCAGUGGCGAAGGCGGCUCACUGGACGACUGUUGACGCUGAGGUGCGAAAGCGUGGGGAGCAAACAGG
rnacentral:rRNA from 1 species